CUGCCGGAGGCCUCUUCUCCCCAUUAAGGCCCUGAUGGAGGCCUCUUCUCCCUAUUAAGGCCCUGAUGGAGGCCUCUUCUCCCUAUUAAGGACCUGCCGGAGGCCUCUUCUCUUUAUUAAGGCCCUGCUGGAGGCCUCUUCUCCCUAUUAAGGCCCUGGUGGAGGCCUCUUCUCCCUAUUAAGGCCCUGGUGGAGGCAUGCCUCUUCUCUUUAUUAAGGCCCUGCUGGAGGCCUCUUCUCCCCAUUAAGGCCCUGAUGGAGGCAUGCCUCUUCUCUUUAUUAAGGCCCUGGUGGAGGCCCCUUCUCCCCAUUAAGGCCCUGGUGGAGGCCUCUUCUCCCUAUUAAGGCCCUGAUGGAGGCAUGCCUCUUCUCCCUAUUAAGGCCCUGGUGGAGGCCUCUUCUCCCUAUUAAGGCCCUGGUGGAGGCAUGCCUCUUCUCCCUAUUAAGGCCCUGCUGGAGGCCUCUUCUCCCUAUUAAGGCCCUGGUGGAGGCCUCUUCUCCCUAUUAAGGCCCUGAUGGAGGCCUCUUCUCCCUAUUAAGGCCCUGGUGGAGGCAUGCCUCUUCUCUCUAUUAAGGCCCUGGUGGAGGCUUCUUCUCCCUAUUAAGUGUUGGGUUAGUCAACUGUCAGGUUGUCCAGCAUCAAUGUCCUGGUGGGACUUUUGCCUGGUAGCAAGGCAAUGGCCCCGGGCCCUGUAUCCAUAGAGACUGCUACUCUUAUUUAUCUAGAUUCAGCUCCCAUGCAGGCCUCUGUUUGAUGGGAAAUCCCUGUCUCGCAUUUCGCCUCCAGUUUGCAGGAUAAUUGUCAGUUUUGUGCUUAGGGAUAGAGUGAGUGGGAGGAAGGUGUUUGCGCUCGAACUGAAAACUCUGACAUUUAGAAGCGAGGAUCAGGGGAACUGCCAUGAUCUGAGAGGUGUUGUGGUUCACUGUCACGGUCAUUUGUGUACUAGACUUAAUUUAUCAAAUCUAUUGCCAAAUAGGAAGCUACUAUUCUGCAGGUGGCAGAAAAUAUGGUGGUGUCCCUGUGGGACACAUCAGGUAAUAUAGCACUUGCCAAGCUUUAAUAAACAACGUCAGGUAACAUAACACUGACCAAGCUUUAAUAAACAACGUCAG
rnacentral:lncRNA from 1 species